GUUUGAUCAUGGCUCAGGAUGAACGCUAGCGGCAGGCUUAAUACAUGCAAGUCGAACGGUAAGUGUUGUAGCAAUAUAGCACGAGAGUGACGUACGGGUGCGUAACACGUAUGCAACCUACCUUGUACAGGGGUAUAGCUCGGGGAAACUCGAAUUAACACCCCAUAAUAUAAUUGGAUGGCAUCAUCUGAUUAUUAAAACUCCGGUGGUACAAGAUGGGCAUGCGUCUGAUUAGUUAGUUGGCGGGGUAAUGGCCCACCAGGACGAUGAUCAGUAGGGGACCUGAGAGGGUGAUCCCCCACACUGGCACUGAGAUACGGGCCAGACUCCUACGGGAGGCAGCAGUAGGGAAUAUUGGUCAAUGGAUGAAAGUCUGAACCAGCCAUGCCGCGUGCAGGAAGAAGGCGUUAUGCGUUGUAAACUGCUUUUGCCAGGGAUAAAAUGAGCGUGCGCGCUUAAUUGAAGGUACCUGGUGAAUAAGCCACGGCUAACUACGUGCCAGCAGCCGCGGUAAUACCU
rnacentral:rRNA from 1 species